UACGUAGGCAGCGAGCUUGGUUCGGAGUUACUGGGCGUAAAGCGUGCGUAGGCGGUGGCCCAAGUCUGGUGUGAAAUCUCCCGGCUCAACCGGGAGGGUGCGCCGGAAACUGGGUCGCUCGAGUACUGGAGAGGCAAGCGGAAUUCCUGGUGUAGCGGUGAAAUGCGUAGAUAUCAGGAGGAACACCCGUGGUGUAGACGGCUUGCUGGACAGUCACUGACGCUGAGGCACGAAAGCGUGGGGAGCAAACAGG
rnacentral:rRNA from 1 species